CAUACGCGGAGCUCACUAGUGGCAGAGCCCACGACACCCGCUCCUCUCCAGCUCUCUCUUUAGGGACAGAGAGGAAUCUACUUACCAAGAUGGCAGGAGCAAGUGGUUAUCAGAGCCUGCUUUCUAGAAAUACAAUUAAAUAAGCAGCCCCUGUCUCUUUUUCUCCACUUUCAGUCUUGGGGAAGGGAUUGGAAUAUGUGAGCAGGAGAGAAGGGUCAUGUUGGAGCAGCCAGGACUCAGAGCAUUUCCGCAGGCUGAGUCUGGAUCCUUUCCUUCAGCCUCCAGGAAUACUCCCGGCUCCACACCCAGAAUGGUAAUCCAGGCAAGGGCUCUGGUGUGUGGCCACACUGCCACCUAUUACCUGUGGGUCCAAAUGCAGUGACUCAACUUCUCUGUGCCUCUCU
rnacentral:lncRNA from 1 species